rnacentral:rRNA from 1 species
CGUGUAGGCGGGUUGUCAAGUCAGAUGUGAAAUUCCAGGGCUCAACCCUGGAGCUGCAUCUGAAACUGAUGAUCUUGAGUACUGGAGAGGGAAGCGGAAUUCCUAGUGUAGCGGUGAAAUGCGUAGAUAUUAGGAGGAACACCAGUGGCGAAGGCGGCUUUCUGGACAGUAACUGACGCUGAGGCGCGAAAGCGUGGGGAGCAAACA